UGGUGGGUAGUUUGACUGGGGCGGUCUCCUCCUAAAGAGUAACGGAGGAGCACGAAGGUUGGCUAAUCCUGGUCGGACAUCAGGAGGUUAGUGCAAUGGCAUAAGCCAGCUUGACUGCGAGCGUGACGGCGCGAGCAGGUGCGAAAGCAGGUCAUAGUGAUCCGGUGGUUCUGAAUGGAAGGGCCAUCGCUCAACGGAUAAAAGGUACUCCGGGGAUAACAGGCUGAUACCGCCCAAGAGUUCAUAUCGACGGCGGUGUUUGGCACCUCGAUGUCGGCUCAUCACAUCCUGGGGCUGAAGUAGGUCCCAAGGGUAUGGCUGUUCGCCAUUUAAAGUGGUACGCGAGCUGGGUUUAGAACGUCGUGAGACAGUUCGGUCCCUAUCUGCCGUGGGCGCUGGAGAACUGAGGGGGGCUGCUCCUAGUACGAGAGGACCGGAGUGGACGCAUCACUGGUGUUCGGGUUGUCAUGCCAAUGGCACUGCCCGGUAGCUAAAUGCGGAAGAGAUAAGUGCUGAAAGCAUCUAAGCACGAAACUUGCCCCGAGAUGAGUUCUCCCUGACUCCUUGAGAGUCCUGAAGGAACGUUGAAGACGACGACGUUGAUAGGCCGGGUGUGUAAGCGCAGCGAUGCGUUGAGCUAACCGGUACUAAUGAACCG
rnacentral:rRNA from 2 species